UCAAAAUCUAAAUUGACUUCAAGACCUCCCUUCAACUUCCACACUGACAACUUGGGUCUAGGAGAAAUGAGGAUUAGAAGUGGUCGUACUGGUGAUGAGCAAAAGCCUCAAUUCAUUAACACUGUGAACCAUGGAGAUUUAGCUAAGAGUGGGGAACACCCUCUGUAUGUUAUCAACAUAGAAAUUACCAUGGCAUUAGAGUUCACAAAUCUGCAAUUUGGUGUCUUUAUUUAUUUAUUUAUUUUUUUGGUCCUUUUAGAACCUAUAACAUAAGUAUACGUGGUUAGAUCAUCCAUGCUGCAAGUAGAUGUAUACCUAAUUUUAGUCAUGAUUUGUGAACCUUAGCAAUAUUGGCAAUAUUCUCACUGAUCUAGUUUUGUCCUUUUUCUCAGGGAAGGGUCCUUCACAGCCUGCUCCUAAGUUUGUUGGGAACUUGAUAGCAUUCAUACUAAACUUGAUUGGUCCUAAGGGUCUGGAGUUUGCUCGGUACUCAUUAGAUUACCAUACAAUAAGAAACUAUCUGUACGUAAAUCGUACUUGGGGAAAACAAAGAGCUGACAGGCACAUGCCAUCAUAUGCAAAGAAAAUUGUAGAUAUGUAUAACCAGAAUGGAGAAGUUGAUAGGAUGCUCUCGAACAAAUGAUCUCCCAAGCAGUCUCAAUGUGCCUAAAAUUGCCUUCUUUUUCAGUUUUCUGAAAUUUCCUUAGUUUAUUACAUCUCAGAUUGAUUGGCCUUGUAUCUUAACUGUUACAGCCCUGCACAGGUGAGAGGUGAGAACCUUGUGUGAGUAUUUUAGAUGUUCAUGGUAUUUCUAUGAACAUUCAAGUUGAUGGUGUAAGUUCCCACAAAAAAAAAAAAAGGGUGAUGGUUUAAAUAUUC